GUCUACGGCCAUGCCACCCCGAACAAGCCCAAUCCCGUCUGAUCUUGGAUCUAAGCAGGAUCGGGCCUGGUUAGUACUUGGAUGGGAGACCAUCUAGGAAGACCAGGUGCCGUAAGCG
rnacentral:rRNA from 1 species